GAUGAACGCUGGCGGCGUGCCUGAUACAUGCAAGUCGAGCGAACGGACGAGAAGCUUGCUUCUCUGAUGUUAGCGGCGGACGGGUGAGUAGCACGUGGAUAACCUACCUAUAAGACUGGGAUAACUUCGGGAAACCGGAGCUAAUACCGGAUAAUAUUUUGAACCGCAUGGUUCAAAAGUGAAAGACGGUCUUGCUGUCACUUAUAGAUGGAUCCGCGCUGCAUUAGCUAGUUGGUAAGGUAACGGCUUACCAAGGCAACGAUGCAUAGCCGACCUGAGAGGGUGAUCGGCCACACUGGAACUGAGACACGGUCCAGACUCCUACGGGAGGCAGCAGUAGGGAAUCUUCCGCAAUGGGCGAAAGCCUGACGGAGCAACGCCGCGUGAGUGAUGAAGGUCUUCGGAUCGUAAAACUCUGUUAUUAGGGAAGAACAUAUGUGUAAGUAACUGUGCACAUCUUGACGGUACCUAAUCAGAAAGCCACGGCUAACUACGUG
rnacentral:rRNA from 1 species